rnacentral:rRNA from 1 species
CAUCGCCUCUUGCCUAAAUAUAAGAGGUCCAGCCUGCCCAGUGACAUAGUUUAACGGCCGCGGUACCCUAACCGUGCAAAGGUAGCAUAAUCACUUGUUCCUUAAAUAGGGACUCGUAUCAACGGCAUCACGAGGACUGUACUGUCUCCUUUCUCCAAUCAGUGAAACUGAUCUCCCCGUGAAGAAGCGGGGAUGAACAUAUAAGACGAGAAGACCCCAUGGAGCUUUAAACCCAUCGCACACCUCUACGCACUCAAAUCAAUAUAGCCUAAGAAGCUUGUGCGUUGGUUUUAGGUUGGGGGGACCGCGGAGUAAAAUUAAACCUCCACGACAGACGGGUUAAUACCCUUAUCCAUGAACCACAAUUCUAAGAGCCAAUAAAUUGUUGUCUAAUGACCCAAUUACUUGAUCAACGAACCAAGUUACCCUGGGGAUAACAGCGCAAUCUACUUCAAGAGCCCCUAUCGACAAGUAGGUUUACGACCUCGAUGUUGGAUCAGGGUAUCCUAGUGGUGCAGCCGCUACUAAAGG